CCUACGGGAGGCAGCAGUGGGGGAUAUUGCACAAUGGGGGAAACCCUGAUCCAGCGAUGCCGCGUGAAUGAAGACGUAUUUCGGUAUGUAAAGCUCUAUCACCAGGGAAGAAAAUGACGGUACCUUACUAAGAAGCCCCGGCUAACUACGUGCCAGCAGCCGCGGUAAUACGUAGGGGGCAAGCGUUAUCCGGAUUUACUGGGUGUAAAGGGAGCGUAGGCGGUGAAGCAAGUCUGAUGUGAAAGCUAGGGGCCCAACCCCAUGGCUGCUUUCGAAACUGUUGACCUGGAUGAAAGUAGAGGCAGGCGGAAUUCCUAGUGUAGCGGUGAAAUGCGUAGAUAUUAGGAGGAACACCAGUGGCGAAGGCGGCCUGCUGGGCUUUAACUGACGCUGAGGCUCGAAAGCGUGGGUAGCAAACAGGAUUAGAUACCCUUGUAGUC
rnacentral:rRNA from 1 species